rnacentral:lncRNA from 1 species
UGAGAGCAAUGGGUGCCAUUUCAAUUUUAGGCUUUAUUUGUGAUAGCGGAAAGAUUGCGUUACGUACGAUAAGAAACGACGAUGUAAAAAUAUUUUAUUUAUUUUCGUACGUAAUAUUGCGUUUCGUAUAUUGCGGUUAGUCGGUUCGAUAUAUUUUCUGCAAUCCCAUCGGAGAACGCAGAAAUAUAUCGCAAUAUACUUUUUUUCAAUUCUAUUAUAUUUAAUAGCGUUAGAUAGACUUCAAUACCAAACUAAGCCUUAGACCAAGCACUGGUAUGGCUUCGAAUUUGUCUCUAUUUUCAAUUGCCGAAGCUAUAACACAGUGAAAACUUUUCGUAAUGGUGAUCAGAAAUUGAAAUAUAAUUUUAAGGCCUAAAAUCUGAAGCUCUGCAACAAAGUAAAUUAUUUAUUUAUUUUUUUUCACAAUGCCCGUAAGCUUUAUACGUCCAAACACCGUAAGAAUUCAUAUAACUUAGACCUGAAAGUCGAGAACCUCAAAUUUAUGUGCACACAGAGAUUCAAACUCCGACCCAAACCUUAGGCAUCGAUCAGAGAAAAUGGUCCAAAAUGCACAAGCUGUAUCGGUACAAAUUAGAUUCUUUUUCUUAAAUUCAUCAAUCUUGUGAAACAACUAUUGUACUCUAAAAACUUGAGCUGUUAGAGAACGAUAUUUAAACAUUUUUAUAUUUAACACUCCCCCUCACGUUUGGGCUCAAGACUUUUUAAUCGGCUCAUGACGUGGGCUUGAAUUAAAUGGGAGAAAAUUAAUAUACUAGAAAUCUGGCAUGACUCGAACUCAGAACCUCCUACUCUGAUACUAUGUAAAAUAACUGUUGUACUCUAAAAGUUUAAACUAUUAGAUAACGGUGAUUAAAUAUUUUUAUAUUUAGCAAAUCUCAUCAGAAAUAUUUAAAAAAUAUUUUUAUUAUAUUUUUUCAGAGAAAAAAAAUGUGAAUGACUGAUUAGCGACGAUGUGAUGUAAAUGUGAUACAGUAGAUUCCGCCCAUCAGAGCCUGGAGGAAUUCUACACUGUCACACUUGCAUCACGUCAUCAAUAACAAGCCAAUCACAUUCCUUCUUUUUAAAUAAAAGUACAAUAAAAAUACUUUUUUACAAUCAUGAUGGGACAUAUAUUCUUAAAAGAAUUAAUUUGAUUGGUUUAUUACGCCACGUCACUAAUUUACCCGUUGUAUUCUAGAAUUUUUCCAGAGCCUGAGG